UGCGUAGGCGGGCUAAUAAGUCAGUGGUGAAAUCUCUCGGCUCAACCGGGAAACUGCCAUUGAUACUGUUAGUCUUGCGUUCGGUUGAGGUAGGCGGAAUGUGUAAUGUAGCGGUGAAAUGCUUAGAUAUUACACAGAACACCAAUUGCGUAGGCAGCUUACUAGACCGACACUGACGCUGAGGCACGAAAGCGUGGGGAGCGAACAGGAUUAGAUACCCUGGUAGUC
rnacentral:rRNA from 1 species